rnacentral:rRNA from 1 species
AGAUUGAACGCUGGCGGCAUGCCUUACACAUGCAAGUCGAACGGCAGCACGGGAGCAAUCCUGGUGGCGAGUGGCGAACGGGUGAGUAAUACAUCGGAACGUGCCCAGUAGUGGGGGAUAGCCCGGCGAAAGCCGGAUUAAUACCGCAUACGACCUACGGGUGAAAGCGGGGAUCGCAAGACCUUGCGCUAUUGGAGCGGCCGAUGUCAGAUUAGCUAGUUGGUAGGGGUAAAAAGCCUAACCAAGGCGAACGGAUCGUGUAGCUGGUCUGAGAGGACGACCAGCCACACUGGACUGAGACACGGCCAGACUCGUACGGAGCAGCAGUGGGUAAUUUGGACAAGUGGGACGCAAGCCUAGACUCCAGCCAUCGCCG